rnacentral:rRNA from 1 species
UGUUAAUUUUUUUAUAAAGAAUUAAUGUUUAAAUUAUUAAAAACUAACCUUUAAUUAAAAUUUCUAAAAUUAAUUACUAUUUAAAUCUUUAAUUUAAAAUUAUAUUUAUAUUAAUUUAUAAAGAAAUUAUGUUAAAAUUAGUAUAAUGUUUUUGUUUAUAAAAGGAAUUCGGCCUUCAACUGUUUAUCAAAAACAUAGUCUUAUGAUAAUAUAAGGUGAAACCUGCCCGCUGAUUUUAAAUGGCCGCAGUACUUUGACUGUGCUAAGGUAGCAUAAUAAAUUGACUCUUAAUUGGGGCCUUGAAUGAAAGGAUAAAUGAAUAAUUUCUGUCUUUAAUAAAUAAAUUAAAAAUUACUUAAAAGGUGAAAAUUCCUUUAAUUUAAUAAAAUAGACGAGAAGACCCUAGGAGUUUUUUUGUUGGGGCGACAAUAUAGCAUAACCUAUAUAUUUAUGUAAACGAAAUGUUUUAAUUAUAAUGUAACUACCCUAGGGAUAACAGCAUAAUUUAAAUUUAAGUUUAUGACCUCGAUGUUGGACUAGGAACUUUUAAAGCUAACAGCGUUAA